GAUGAACGCUAGCGGCAGGCCUAACACAUGCAAGUCGAGCGGGAUUCGGUAGCUUGCUACCGAUGAGAGCGGCGCACGGGUGCGUAACGCGUAUACAAUCUGCCUCUUACUGCGGGAUAGCCCAGAGAAAUUUGGAUUAACACCGCAUAGCAUAGUGUUCCGGCAUCGGGACGUUAUUAAAGGUUACGGUAAGAGAUGAGUAUGCGUCCUAUUAGCUAGUUGGUAAGGUAACGGCUUACCAAGGCAACGAUAGGUAGGGGCCCUGAGAGGGGGAUCCCCCACACUGGUACUGAGACACGAACCAGACUCCUACGGGAGGCAGCAGUGAGGAAUAUUGGACAAUGGGCGCAAGCCUGAUCCAGCCAUGCCGCGUGCAGGAAGACGGCCCUAUGGGUUGUAAACUGCUUUUGUACGGGAAGAAACACCACUACGCGUAGUGGCUUGACGGUACCGUAAGAAUAAGGAUCGGCUAACUCCGUGCCAGCAGCCGCGGUAAAGU
rnacentral:rRNA from 1 species